AUACGGGGGGAGCAAGCGUUGUCCGGAAUUACUGGGCGUAAAGGGCGUGUAGGCGGCUUGAUAAGUCAGAUGUGAAAGCCUUCCGCUUAACGGAAGAACUGCAUUUGAAACUGUCGGGCUUGAGUGCGAGAGAGGGUAGUGGAAUUCCCAGUGUAGCGGUGAAAUGCGUAGAUAUUGGGAAGAACACCAGUAGCGAAGGCGGCUACCUGGCUCGUAACUGACGCUAAGGCGCGAAAGCGUGGGGAGCAAACAGGAUUAGAUACCCCAGUAGUCC
rnacentral:rRNA from 1 species